UCCCUGGUGGCUCAGUGGGUAAAGCAUCUGCCUCCAAUGCGGGAGACCCAGCUUCAAUCCCUGGGUUGGGAA
rfam:Ovis aries breed Texel chromosome 1, whole genome shotgun sequence.